AUGGUUGUAAUAAAGAGUGCAAAAAUGCUUUGUGAUUAAAAGUAGUAAAUGUAUUUUUUAUCAUAUAAGUCUUGUGAAGGAAUACAUGAACCGCACCCGCCAUGGUCUUGGAUAAGGAACCCUACCACGUGGAAAAGAAAUCCACCACGCCUGUCCGAGAUUCUUUGCCAACCUCCGCGCAGGGAUUUGACAGGAACCAGCAAACAAACCACGUGAUGAUAGCCUAGCCACGUGAAUUACCUCUUUGAUCCACACGACAUUGACUCAGUCGUAUUGAGCCUUGAUGACCACCAAACAAUGUUUCGAUGGUACAUUUAUGCCAAGGGCGCCUACAGUCAACGCGACACUGUAUCCACCUUUGUACGCAAGGUCAUGUCUAUACCGUUCCUGCCAGCGGAACAUGUGGAGCCUGCGAUUAUGAGUCUGAAAGAAAAAACAACUGAUGAAACCCUGGCUGACCUGCUGGAGCAUGUGGACAAAACAUGGCUUCAAUCUUCGGUGUGGGGACCAGAAAAUUCAUUGGUAGUAAUACAUUUUCUGGGAAAAAUUAUCAAUAGGUCAUUAAACCCAUGAGUCAAAGAUAGUUAUGACCUCGAUCGUUUUGUAAGAAAAGGCACAUAGCCAUUUGCAAUGGUAAGUGCUUUCUUAACAAAGCGUUGGAUAGUAACAUAUAAGUUGUUAUGCUUGCACUUUUAAGGUCACAGAAUAUAUGAAGCCACAAUUUCUUGCAACUAAAUAUGAAAAUUAGCUUAGCUUCAAGCGAACUCAUGGGGCCAAUAAAAGUAAAACGACCCUUUGAACAAUUAUUUAGUUUUGGAUGACUAUAUUUAUUAUACGCCGCUUACAUAUGUUUAGGGCUGUUUUAUAUAAUCGACAAAUACAAAAUCAAGAUCUUGCAAAUAUUAUACGAUAUGUUUAAUCACGUCCUAUCAUAAGGUUUCACAGUUAAUUCGACCGAGUCCGAAAGGAUAAAGAAUUCAAGUAAGAAAAUAACGCUUAGUAUUUAAUUGUCCCAGUAACUUUUUAAGUAGUUUCGAUACACAAACAGUAAUUAUAUCUUUUAAGUUGGUCUUUUAGUAAUAGUCUUUUGACUACAACAUGUUUAGAAACACAACUAAACACAUAAUAUCCAAAGACUUAAGAACUGAAAGACAUAAGCCAGUCUUACUUUAUUUUCAGCCACUUGAGAGUGGGAUUGCUUUUGAUGCUGAAUAAACAUACUUACAACACAAGUGAGACAUUCGCCUCAAAUUUAUAAGUAUUUACAACGCAUAAAUAGCGCAAUAAUUUGCAUAUCAAAUAUAUUUAAUUAGCAAGCCAAGAAAGGGGGCAAUCUAGUUACCCUGAUGUUUGAAUAUAUUUCCUUAAUAUCUUUUCAGUCGUUAUUUUGGUACGAAAGCACUAAAUAUUUGUAACAUUUUUAUGUUUAAAUAAUUAACAAAUAUCUGCUGAAAGUCCAUUUAAUCAAGGUAUACUGCCCAAACGUGAAUAUUUUAAAAAUUAAUUGCCUUUACACAAUAUUUGUAGCAAUGUUUGCUUAUGAAGUUAUGUUUAAACGUGACUGUUUGGGUGUCUGUUACGUUUAAACAUGACUGUUGAGCGUCUGAUAUAAUAUCAUGUGUAAUGAUAACUAGUAUAUGUUCUGUACGUUAUACACAUGUCUACUUAAAACAAAAUACCAAACAUAUAUCUGAAAUAAUUAUUUCUUUUAAAUUGUAUUAAUAAUUAUGCGAUUUACACUUAGAAAAAAAAGUUACCAUAUGAAGUACAUAUACAGUUGCAUAUUUUAGAAGUUGGAAAGGAACCAUAAAACGGCAUUUACAGUAAAUAAGCAUCGAGCUACAAAUGUAAGAGAAAGAAGCACCUUCAUGGUUGUGUAUUAUUUAUUAAUACUAUACUAAUUUAUUUACGACAUUGUGGUGUAAAAGAAUAAAUACUUUAUAUUACAUUAUGCAUAAACUAUUUGUCGUGGAAUGUAAAACAGAAUUUUAUACAAUAAUGCAAAAAAUAAAAAUAAAACAGCGAUAAAGACAAACAUUACUGUCAUGCCUUAUUAGCGUGUACCCAAAGAAUGCUGAUGAACCACCAUGUCCAUAAUGUUCUAAUAAUGCGAUACUUAAAUGUGUAAAUGGUGAUAGGACAUAAAGCUGAACGUCUAUGUCAAUGCCUUAACAUUUGCCAUGUUUACAAUUGUCCAUCGUUGUCUGUUGUUGUGUUUUCUUUCUUUGUUAAGUGUCUUUUUUCACUGACAUCUGUGCUAUUGUCGACUCAUGCUCUGGGCGAUCGGCGACCCUUUGACCUCUUGGGCUUCUUGUACGAGGGCACACAGUGGACAAAAAAAGAUUGCAGCGCAGUCGCCUAGCAAGCUUCCUUGAAUACCUUUGGACUCACGAACUCUUCCACGGACCU